rnacentral:rRNA from 1 species
GUGAGGAAUUUUCCGCAAUGGGCGAAAGCCUGACGGAGCAAUGCCGCGUGAAGGAUGAAGGCCUAUGGGUUGUAAACUUCUUUUCUCAGAAAAGAAUUAUGACGGUAUCUGAGGAAUAAGCAUCGGCUAACUCUGUGCCAGCAGCCGCGGUAAGACAGAGGAUGCAAGCGUUAUCCGGAAUGAUUGGGCGUAAAGCGUCUGUAGGUUGUUUAAAAAGUAUUCUGUCAAAGAUUAGGGCUUAACCCUAGAUAGGCAGAAUAAACUUUUAAGCUAGAGUUUUGUAGAGGCAGAGGGAAUUCCCGGUGGAGCGGUGAAAUGCGUAGAGAUCGGGAGGAACACCAAAGGCGAAGGCACUCUGCUGGCCCAAUACUAACACUGAGAGACGAAAGCGAGGGGAGCAAAUGGGAUUAGAAACCCCGGUAGUCC